GACGAACCGUGCGAACGUUGUUCGGAAUCACUGGGCUUAAAGGGCGCGUAGGCGGCCGACCAAGUCCGGGGUGAAAGCCCCCAGCUCAACUGGGGAAGUGCCUUGGAUACUGGUUGGCUCGAGGGAGGUAGGGGUCCGCGGAACUUCUGGGUGGAGCGGUGAAAUGCGUUGAUAUCAGAAGGAACGCCGGGUGGCGAAAGCGGCGGACUGGGAUCUCUU
rnacentral:rRNA from 1 species